rnacentral:rRNA from 1 species
GUGUCAGCAGCCGCGGUAAUACGUAGGGGGCAAGCGUUGUCCGGAUUUAUUGGGCGUAAAGCGCGCGCAGGCGGUCCAUUAAGUUGGGUGUCAAAGGCAUCGGCUCAACCGGUGUUCGCACCCAAAACUGGUGAACUUGAGUGCAGAAGAGGAGAGUGGAAUUCCUGGUGUAGCGGUGGAAUGCGUAGAUAUCAGGAGGAACACCAGUGGCGAAGGCGGCUCUCUGGUCUGCAACUGACGCUGAGGCGCGAAAGCGUGGGGAGCAAACAGGAUUAGAUACCCUGGUAGUCCACGCCGUAAACGAUGAGUGCUAGGUGUCGGGGACUUUCCCGUUCUCGGUGCCGAAGGUAACCCAUUAAGCACUCCGCCUGGGGAGUACGGCCGCAAGGCUGAA